CCUACGGGAGGCAGCAGUGAGGAAUAUUGGUCAAUGGCCGGAAGGCUGAACCAGCCAUGCCGCGUGAAGGUCAGUGCCCUAUGGGCGUUAAACUUCUUUUGUGCGGGAGCAAUAAUGGUCACGUGUGGCCAGACGAGAGUACCGUACGAAUAAGCAUCGGUUAACCUCGUGCCAGCAGCCGCGGUAAUUCGGGGGAUGCAAGCGUUGUCCGGAUUUUUUGGGUUUAAAGGGUGCGUAGGCUGUGAGGUAAGUCAGCGGUGAAAUGCCCCCGGUCAACGGGGUGAAGUGCCAUUGAUACUGGCUUGCUGGAGUGCGGAUGCCGUAGGAGGAAUGUGUGGUGUAGCGGUGAAAUGCAUAGAUAUCACACAGAACACCGAUUGCGAAGGCAUCUCACGAAUCCGCGAUUGACGCUGAUGCACGAAAGCGUGGGUAUCAAACAGGAUUAGAUACCCUGGUAGUC
rnacentral:rRNA from 1 species